UAUCGCUGCCCACCUUGGGCGUUUCCUCCCUAGACUUAGGCCGCUUGUGGCAACGCAGGCGGCCCUUUUUUUGUGUGCA
rnacentral:sRNA from 1 species